GAUCCUGGCUCAGGAUGAACGCUAGCUACAGGCUUAACACAUGCAAGUCGAGGGGCAGCAUGGUCUUAGCUUGCUAAGGCUGAUGGCGACCGGCGCACGGGUGAGUAACACGUAUCCAACCUGCCGUCUACUCUUGGCCAGCCUUCUGAAAGGAAGAUUAAUCCAGGAUGGGAUCAUGAGUUCACAUGUCCGCAUGAUUAAAGGUAUUUUCCGUGA
rnacentral:rRNA from 1 species